GACGAACGCUGGCGGCGUGCUUAACACAUGCAAGUCGAACGGAAAGGCCCCUUCGGGGGUACUCGAGUGGCGAACAGGUGAGUAACACGUGAGUAACCUGCCCUUGACUUCGGGAUAACUUCAGGAAACUGGGGCUAAUGCCGGAUAGGAAUCCUUGCUGCAUGGUGGGGGUUGGAAAGCUUCGGCGGUUUUGGAUGGACUCGCGGCUUAUCAGCUUGUUGGUGGGGUAGUGGCUUACCAAGGCUUUGACGGGUAGCCGGCCUGAGAGGGCGACCGGCCACAUUGGGACUGAGAUACGGCCCAGACUCCUACGGGAGGCAGCAGUGGGGAAUAUUGCACAAUGGGCGGAAGCCUGAUGCAGCAACGCCGCGUGCGGGAUGACGGCCUUCGGGUUGUAAACCGCUUUCAGCAGGGGCGAAGCUUGUGGUGACGGUACCUGCAGAAGAAGCACCGGCUAACUACGUG
rnacentral:rRNA from 1 species